rnacentral:rRNA from 1 species
AUUGAACGCUGGCGGCAGGCUUAACACAUGCAAGUCGAGCGAGCGGCGGACGGGUGAGUAAUGUCUGGGAAACUGCCUGAUGGAGGGGGAUAACUACUGGAAACGGUAGCUAAUACCGCAUACCAUCGGAUGUGCCCAGAUGGGAUUAGCUAGUAGGUGGGGUAAAGGCUCACCUAGGCGACGAUCCCUAGCUGGUCUGAGAGGAUGACCAGCCAUACUGGAACUGAGACACGGUCCAGACGCCUACGGGAGGCAGCAGUGGGGAAUAUUGCACAAUGGGCGAAAGCCUGAUCCAGCCACGCCGCGUGUGUGAAGAAGGUCUUCGGGUCGUAAAGCACUUUCAGCGAGGAGGCGGUACUCGCAGAGUAAGCACCGGCUAACUCCGUGCCAGCAGCCGCGGUAAUAC